UACUCGAGUGGCGAACGGGUGAGUAACACAUGGGUGAUCUGCCCUGCACUUCGGGAUAAGCCUGGGAAACUGGGUCUAAUACCGGAUAGGAGCCAUUUUUAGUGUGAUGGUUGGAAAGUUUUUCGGUGCAAGAUGAGCCCGCGGCCUAUCAGCUUGUUGGUGGGGUAAUGGCCUACCAAGGCGACGACGGGUAGCCGGCCUGAGAGGGUGUACGGCCACAUUGGGACUGAGACACGGCCCAG
rnacentral:rRNA from 1 species